rnacentral:lncRNA from 1 species
CGACCUAUGUUCGCUCGUGCGGUAUUGAGAAGCCUACGGGGUCGAGUGGGACAGACACAUUCCAAGAGUAGGAAUGUCGGGCUACCACAGGCACUUAGGCGGCACAAGCUGGACUACCUUGGGUAAGUCCCUAAUUGGAAAUGGAAAUCGACACGGGGUUGAGGAUGAAUGAUCACUACUAGAUAGACUUAGUAGUUGGGUUACAUUACAUGCUUUUAGCAUAGUGUGAGACGUGUAGUAUACGUGGUUGCCAUAUUAGAACUACAACAUUAUGUAUUGACAAAGGUUAACAACAUUAAACUAGUGUGAUUGGACUUAAUUGUAAUGAUAGAAUAGAUGUACAUUUUGGUUGACAUCAUGCUUAUUUGAGACACAGUAGACUAGCAUUUCAUUUAUGCUUUCUUUCAGCAGUUUAUGUAUAUGCUCCUUAUUGCUUUCAUUAUUAUCGUUACUUACCCUUGUUUUUGGGGCCUAGUGGAGCAAGAGCUGAGGUCAGUAAUUGCCCACUGGGAACUAUAAAUUAUAGUUCUCACGCCCUCUCUUUCUCGAUGUUUUUCAGAGCCUUCCACGCAGGGAGAGGCCAGGGAUCGCGGAAAGGGUAUCGCCUCGGGCUAGCGUGCUUACCGAGGGAUCGUUCGAUAGGUGGUCUACCUCUCGUGUUAUCUUUUUGUGAGAGGUUGAGAGUUGUACCCGUAUAUGUAUAGAGACCACCAUUUUUGUACUAGAGACAGAUAUUGUACUACUUAUGAUUUCCUUUAUUGUCUAUCCUUAUCUGCUUACUUUGGUGUAGAUGCUAGAACUAUAUUUGCUCUGAUAUCAUUAGUUGCUGGUUAUUCCACUUCUUUUAUUUGUUCCAUUUCUUGCUUUUCUUCCGCUUUUAUUGUAGACGCCUUAUAUGUGUAGACAUAUGGCGGGUCUGGGCACGCUACCGGGAGGGCCUCCGCCGGUCCCGGGGCGUGACAC